rnacentral:rRNA from 1 species
GGGCUCACACAAGCGGUGGAGCAUGUGGCUUAAUUCGAGGCAACGCGAAGAACCUUAUCCUGGAUUUGACAUGCACGGAUGGCUCGCCUGAAAGGGAUGAGUCUGCCUUCGGGUGAAACGUGCACAGGUGCUGCAUGGCUGUCGUCAGCUCGUGUCGUGAGAUGUAGGGUUAAGUCCUUAAACGAGCGCAACCCUUGUCCUUAGUUGCCAGCGGGUCAUGCCGGGGACUCUAAGGAGACUGCCGGUGUUAAACCGGAGGAAGGUGGGACGACGUCAAGUCAUCAUGGCCUUUAUGUCCAGGGCUGCACACGUGCUACAAUGGCGCGUACAAAGGGAAGCGAACCCGCGAGGGGAAGCAAAUCUCAAAAAGCGCGCCUCAGUUCGGAUUGCAGGCUGCAACUCGCCUGCAUGAAGCCGGAAUCGCUAGUAA